rnacentral:lncRNA from 1 species
GAGAGAGGGGGCCAAGCACACUAAUGGGCUGGGGAAAUCUCCCCUGUGUAAGGUACUGUUCUGAAGCCUCAAGUUAGAAUCCAAGUUGCUCCUUCCUGAAAGCGUGAACUUCUUUGAGAUGUAGAACAGAAACAAACAAGUCCAGGGCUUCCUAAGCAUGGCAGGAGACAGGUGAGAAGUCAGCACCCUCGUACUCUGGGACCUCAACCAUUCCCACUGUCAUCUGUUUCAACCGCCAUGGCUUCAACACCCUCCGAUCUAAAGGUCUUCAUCUUUCACUUUAUUUCUAUUUAAUACUUUUCGUUAUUAAUAAAAAUCGACUAUCUUGC